CUGGGCAUUUGCAAAGAUUUUUAUCAUCUUCAGGUUGGGGCCACUUUGCGCUGUGAGUUGUAACCAGUGGCAAUAUCCUAAGCAGCAGGAGACUGUAGCUUGUAUGUAGAAUGUAGAAGCAGCCAUUCUAGCAAAUAGCUCUGUCCUUAUCAGCAUGUCAUCCAAGGGAGCAUGUGGCCAUAAACUGUUAAUGCAAAAAUAUACAAAAGAUUGUUGUAGACAACAGCAAAAACCAUCUGUCCAAUCAACAGACCUCUGGAGAAUCCCACCUAAUGCAAUUCAGUCUAAUAUGAUUACAUUUGAGUGCACUUAUAUGAUAGUUCUCUUACUUGCAUCUAAAAUGUCAGUUGGCAAAGAUGUCAGUUCCGCAGCCAGCUCUUAGCAACAUCUUUUCUUGAACUAACCAUGCACUUUAGACUGACCAGGGUAGGAUUUCGUCCUUCAUCUCACGUAUUCAUCAGUUAAUGUGACUCAAUUUCCUCUUGAACUUGAUGACUGAAGAAGCCAAGAAGAGAUUGUCAGCAGCUCCCCAGAACAUGUGGAAAGAGUGAAUAUCCAGAGGUUUGGAUUCAAAAUUGUUUGAUUUAGAACUGGAAAAUGUUUCACAUUUCUCAACUAAGAUGACAAAGGAACCAGCCUUUUGACUUUGUGGGAAUUCUUGAGGUGAAAAUUUGAUCAGCAUUGUUGCUCAGAACCUGUGGAAACAUCUCCCGCAUAUCUAGAGAUGUGUCUGAACCAAAACCCUCCAAACUUUGGGUAAGUUCAGCUCCGGGUCUAAACCCUGCAGCAAGCUGAACUGACCCCCAGAGCCAGACAACUCCAAAUGUGGAGAAAGUGCUGCUGUGCAUCUGAACGAACUUUAUAGCUCCAGUUUCGCUUUGUUUUGUGGCACCAAAUCCAUCUUUGCAUUUUCUGCACAUUCUUCUCUCACCAUAGCACAGAUCCAUCUACAAGCUGCAUACAGUUCUUACUGGCCCGUGGCUCAUCUAGCUGCCGGACUCCGUUUACUACACUAUCUAUCCAUCUCUUAUCUACUUUUCUUCUUUACCUCCAGCUGCAGUUUUAUGUUAUUUCUCUACUUUACACAAUGGCCCCCCUUUUAACAGGCUUCUCUGUUAUUUGAAAAAGAGUUUGCAGUUUAUUUUUUGAUUAGACUGUCAAUAAACCAGCAGGUCAUAAUCACACAGUGAAAUGAUGUGUACUUGAAAGCACUGUGAUCACUCCCUUGUUCUGUGCGAGCUGUAAUUCAAUGCAAAACCCUCUGUCAUUUUACAUUUUCCAGUUCUUUCAUUCAUUCCGGCUUAGUAAUUAAAAAUGGCUGACAAAUAAACACUCGGGAUGAUUUCCGAAAUGUUCUGUAUUUACUUGCAAGACCGGUACCAUCU